rnacentral:lncRNA from 1 species
ACAGUAGCUGCCAUUUUGCCAAUCUCCUUAAGUGUCCACCAGGACCUGCAGAUAGAUGGGCGGGAACCAUGCUGAGCCCUCCCACCUUCCUCCUGUACACUUCUGGUGGAGGUUUGGCCCAGAGCCAGCACACCUCUUUCUCUCUGCUCCUUGGUCUCAUAGUGUAUGUCCUGUGCACCACUCAAGCCUGCACGGGGCGUUGAGGGGGUGGGGGUGGGGAGGCACAGACCACCUGCACCUACCAUAGCCUUCUGCCUCCUACAGGGUCCUCAUUGUGUGCCUGGUGCACCUGCCUACCUCGGCCGCUUCUGGAGUGCACCCUCUCAGAGGUGCAGGGCAAACAGCCCAAUCUCUGAUUCACCCAGGGAGGGUUGGCCAGUCUCAGAGUCCAGCAGGAUGAAGAAAUAAUGUUUCUGGUGAAGGUUACCACCUCUGCCAGUCCCUGCGCCACACCACCAUCCACUAUUGAGUGCAUAGACCCUGGACCCUUUGACUCCAGAGGAUUUGCAACAACACACAGCCCAGAGCUCAGGUGAUGUUUUGGUGCUCUCUGUCCCCCACCCCCUUUUUCUAACUCUGCUGUGAGUGAACUUGGCUUUACCCUCUCCACAACUCAAAGUAAAGCCCUCAGCUCCGCAACUGUGGGAUUAUUACAAGGGCCACACCUGGUCUGCACAACCUCUUAACCUCCCACUCUCCACCCUCCACCCCGUGUGCCUCACUCGCUCUUUUGAUUUGUGUCUAUAGUUCACAAGGUCGGCCUCCCGACAAAGAGGCCGGGUGUUUCUUACCCCCAUUUUACAGAUAUGAAAGCUUGAGGUUGUGAGUAGGUGAGAGUGGCUGAAGCGGGGGAAUUUGUCCCUGCAUCCCCUCGGGCCAGACUAGUGCCUCUGCCCUCCUGCUGCUCAGUGAUGUCCAAGUCUGAAGAUCCCCUUACAGAAGCCCAGAAGUGAAACCUGGCUUGGGAAUCAAAUAGUGAGAUUUAAAAAAAAAGAGGGGGGGGGGGAAGGAAAAAAAGAGAGAGAAAAAAAGACCGGGGUUGUGUGUAUGUAGGAAGAAUGUUCUGGGUGGAGGGGGGAGCUAGUGCCUGUUUCCGCAAACCAGUGUGACUGACAGUGGCCAGGACAGGUGAUGGAAGGGGGCCUGCCAUGAUGAGUGUUGUAGGUCAUUAUCAGGAAACCGGGGAGUUGAGCAUGGGGGCCCUGGAGCGUGGGGGCGGGGUUCGAAACUCCACGGGGCGGGGUCAGCAUGUCCCUCCAGACCCGUGCGUCCAAACUUUACAUAAACUACAGUUCCUUAGGCACCUGAGCCUCAUUUCAAGUGACCUUAGCCACACGUGUGUCUAGAGGAUAGCACACACAGGGGACACUGGCCCCAGCACAGAAAGGGUCGCAGGCGCACUGUGCUAGAGAGAGAACUCAAGGCUUGGGUGGGAAACAUUUUGGAGAGAAAGAGGGAAGCCAGUGGGGACCGGCUCCAGUGACUCAGUGAGCUUGUCGGUGGCUAGAGCCAACGCCAGCAUAGGGCCUGGCGCUCAGCCACUGUCCAGAGAAACGGAAGAUGAUGAUUCCCGAGGAAUUUCCAGGUGCUCUCACCUCCAAAUAGCCCCCACCCAGCUGCCAUCUUCCUCCAGGAAUCCUGGCUGCCCGAGAGGUCAAUAGAAUGUGACCAAGGGGGCAGUGGGACUGUCAAGGCCGAGUCAGGAAGGCACAGCAGCUUCCCAAUCCGUCUCUUGAACUCAUUUCCCGUGGCAGAGGCUGACCCUGGUGAUUUGAGUCGCGCCUUUCCAGCUGCGCGCAUGCGCGGUGCCUUUUCCCGUAAGAAGGGAGGGCUGAGUCUCCAACUGCAGUAGAGAAUUUGCCCGCUUCUGCAAAUCUACCUGGUUUCGCCUCCUCCGAUAUGAGACCCUCUCGUCAGGGAGCCCAGCUGCGUGGAUGCCGGGGACGCUAUGGCUUUGAGGACUGGCCCACCGAGCCAAAGGGUCUUGGACACGUCCGGGUGUGUGCGGCGCAAGCCUACAAACUCUCUCACCUCUACCAGAGAUAAUAAGGUCUUUUAUACCCUAGAGCCUGGGCAGGCCAUAAGGACAAAGGGUGCCCGGGACACAAGCAGGUAGUUUGGAAGUUUGGUGUAAAUUUAGAAGCAACUUCUACCUUCUCUUUCACCUGCGUGCCAUUGGGCUUGGCCAUGCGUGGCCCACGGUUGGCACAAAUAUUUGGAAUCUGUGAGUAAAGAAGCUGGAAGUGGGCUCAGAAAAUGCUGCCCAGGCCCAUGUAACAGAUGCCGGAGGAAACACAUGUGAGCUCACACACACAGGUUGCUGGAGUGAGAGGCUGAAGAGGGUAGGGGUGGGAUAAGGGACUGGAGUGCUCAAAGGCUGCAGAUCUUCCCUCUGGGCCUUG